GAUGAAGAACGCAGCGAAACGCGAUAGGUAAUGCGAAUUGCAGAAUUCCGUGAGUCAUCGAAUCUUUGAACGCACAUUGCGCCCUCUGGUAUUCCGGAGGGCAUGCCUGUCUGAGCGUCAUUGUCAACCCUCAAGCUCAGCUUGCUGUUGGGUCCCCGUCGUUGCUUUAACGGCGGACCCGAAAGGUAAUGGCAGAGUCCGUGAGACCCUAGACGCAGCGAGCUUCUAGCACGCGUCUGGACGUUUUUCGGGCUCGGUCUUAACUAGAUGAUAACUUCCGAUUGACCUCAGAUCAGGUAGGGAUACCCGCUGAACUUAAGCAUAUCAAUAAGCCGAGGA
rnacentral:misc_RNA from 1 species